UAUGGCCACAUCAUGCUGAAACACAGGUUUCCCAUACAAUCACCAAAGUUAAGCAAUGUCAAACCUGGUCAGUACAUAGAUGGGUGACCAUUUGGGAAUGACAGGUGCUGUAA